rnacentral:rRNA from 1 species
GAUGAACGCUGGCGGCGUGCCUAAUACAUGCAAGUCGAGCGAACAGAUGAGGAUCUUGCUCCUCUGACGUUAGCGGCGGACGGGUGAGUGACAUGUGGAUCACCCACCUAUUAGACUGGGAUAAUUUCGCGAGACCUGCGCUAAUACCGGAGAAUAUAUUGAUCCGCAUGGUUCAAUAGUUAAAUACGUUUUUGCUGUCACUAAUAGUUGGAUCCGCGCCGCAUUGUCUAGUUGGUAAGGUAACGGCAUACCAAGGUAACGAUGCGUAGCCGCCCUGAGAGGGUGAACGGCCACACUGGAACUGAGAAACGGUCAAGACGCGUACGGGAGGCAGCCGUGGGGAAUAUGGGGGGAAGGGCGAAAGCCUGAUGGAGAAAGGGCGAGUGAGUGACGGAGGUCUUCGGAUUGUAAAAAUCUGUUAUUAGGGAUGAAAAACUGUGUAAGUAGCUAUGCACGUAUUGACGGUACCUAAUGAAAAAGCAACGGCUAACUACGUG